ACAAGCGAGGGGAGAGAGAGAGAACUGGAAUCUAGACACGUCACCAACACAGAGACACGCAGAUAUUGGGGAAACAGGAAAAGAGAAGUUCCACCUAACUCUGCUAUAGAGAGGAGAAGAGAGGAAGAGAGGGAAGAGAUCAAGAGGAGAAGGGAAGAGAUGGAGAGGAAAAGAGAAGAAGAGAUUGAGAGGAGAAGGGAAGGGGGGGAAGAUAUGGAAGAGAAAGUGACUGUGAAACCCUUGGUUAACUGUCUUCAAUCAACACCAACACAACAGCAGCAGCCAACAGAGCCCCAGAAUGGUGGUCCAGCACUGUUCACAAGGAUCCCUAGUUUCCAUCUGACUGAAGAGGGCGCUAUACUCUCACAGCUGUCCGAACUCGAAGCAAAACCAGCCCAGAAAGUUGUUAAUACCUUCUGCCACAGAAUCAACAGCAUUGGAGAGAAGACAACCACCUCCCUUCC